rnacentral:rRNA from 1 species
GUUAGGAAUAUUGGACAAUGGGCGCAAGCCUGAUCCAGCCAUGCCGCGUGAGUGAUGAAGGCCUUCGGGUUGUAAAGCUCUUUAGCCGAUGAUUAUAAUGACUGUAGUCGGAAAAUAAGCCCCGGCUAACUUCGUGCCAGCAGCCGCGGUAAUACGAAGGGGGCGAGCGUUAUUCGGAAUCACUGGGCGUAAAGCGUGCGUAGGCGGCUUUGCAAGUUGGGAGUGAAAGCCCAGGGCUCAACCCUGGAAUUGCUCUCAAAACUGCAAGGCUCGAAUUCGGGAGAGGAUAGCGGAAUUGUCAGUGUAGAAGUGAAAUGCGUAGAUAUUGACAGGAACACAAGUGGCGCAAGCGGCUAUCUGGACCGAUAUUGACGCUGAGGCACGAAAGCGUGGGGAGCAAACAGGAUUAGAAACCCGGGUAGUCC